UUGUUUGCAUCUUGUUUUUAAGCCCAUAAAUAAUAAUGUACUCGUUCUAAUAAAUUGAUAUUUGAAUGUACUCAUACUAAUAUAUUUUAAAUGUAUUACUUU